CCCUGCGCGCGCUAUCUGCAGUCGAGCGAACAGAUAGGAGCUUGCUCCUUUGACGUUAGCGGCGGACGGGUGAGUAACACGUGGGUAACCUACCUAUAAGACUGGAAUAACUCCGGGAAACCGGGGCUAAUGCCGGAUAACAUUUAGAACCGCAUGGUUCUAAAGUGAAAGAUGGUUUUGCUAUCACUUAUAGAUGGACCCGCGCCGUAUUAGCUAGUUGGUAAGGUAACGGCUUACCAAGGCAACGAUACGUAGCCGACCUGAGAGGGUGAUCGGCCACACUGGAACUGAGACACGGUCCAGACUCCUACGGGAGGCAGCAGUAGGGAAUCUUCCGCAAUGGGCGAAAGCCUGACGGAGCAACGCCGCGUGAGUGAUGAAGGUCUUCGGAUCGUAAAACUCUGUUAUUAGGGAAGAACAAAUGUGUAAGUAACUGUGCACGUCUUGACGGUACCUAAUCAGAAAGCCACGGCUAACUACGUGCCAGCAGCCGCGGUAAUACGUAGGUGGCAAGCGUUAUCCGGAAUUAUUGGGCGUAAAGCGCGCGUAGGCGGUUUCUUAAGUCUGAUGUGAAAGCCCACGGCUCAACCGUGGAGGGUCAUUGGAAACUGGGAAACUUGAGUGCAGAAGAGGAAAGUGGAAUUCCAUGUGUAGCGGUGAAAUGCGCAGAGAUAUGGAGGAACACCAGUGGCGAAGGCGACUUUCUGGUCUGUAACUGACGCUGAUGUGCGAAAGCGUGGGGAUCAAACAGGAUUAGAUACCCUGGUAGUCCACGCCGUAAACGAUGAGUGCUAAGUGUUAGGGGGUUUCCGCCCCUUAGUGCUGCAGCUAACGCAUUAAGCACUCCGCCUGGGG
rnacentral:rRNA from 1 species